rnacentral:rRNA from 1 species
UGGGGAAUAUUGCGCAAUGGGGGAAACCCUGACGCAGCGACGCCGCGUGUGGGAUGAAGGUCUUCGGAUUGUAAACCACUGUCGCGAGGGACGAAGCUCUGACGGUACCUCGAAAGGAAGCACCGGCUAACUCUGUGCCAGCAGCCGCGGUAAUACAGAGGGUGCGAGCGUUGUCCGGAAUCAUUGGGCGUAAAGAGCGUGUAGGCGGCCAGGUAGGUCGGUUGUGAAAACUGGAGGCUCAACCUUCAGACGUCGACCGAAACCCCUUGGCUAGAGUCCGGAAGAGGAGAAUGGAAUUCCUGGUGUAGCGGUGAAAUGCGCAGAUAUCAGGAAGAACACCCGUGGCGAAAGCGGUUCUCUGGGACGGUACUGACGCUGAGACGCGAAAGCGUGGGGAGCGAACAGGAUUAGAUACCCGGGUAGUCCCUGAGCGGGCUGGCAAGGCGCAU